rnacentral:rRNA from 1 species
AACGGGGCUAAACCAUGCACCGAAGCUGCGGCAGCGACAUCA